AGGGGAGUCUUGGGGUUUUCAGGAAUUUGCCACAUUAACCCGGGAGCUGAGCGUGUGUCGGGAGCAGCUUCUAGAACGGGAGGAGGAGAUUUCAGAGCUGAAAGCUGAACGGAAUAACACGAGGCUGCUGUUAGAACAUCUCGAGUGCCUUUGUGUCCCGCCAUGAGCGAUCCCUUCGAAUGACUGUCGUGAAGCGUCAGGCUCAGUCUCCCUCCGGUGUCUCCAGUGAGGUGGAAGUGCUCAAAGCCCUGAAGUCUCUGUUUGAGCACCACAAGGCACUGGAUGAGAAGGUUCGGGAGAGGCUGCGGGCAGCGCUGGAGCGUGUGAGCACGCUGGAGGAGCAGCUGGCAGGUGCUCACCAGCAGGUGUCUGUUCUCCAGCAGGGAGCGGGGCCCCGGGAUGGAGCUUCUGGAGAAGAUGGGGCCCUGGAGUUGGGACCAAGACUCUUGUGGAAGGAUGAAGCAGGCCGGGCGGGAGAGCUGCAGGAGCGCCUGGAGAAGCAGACCUUUGAGCUGAACCAGGCCCGUGAACGCCUGGUUGCCCUGGCUGGCACGGUGGCCGAGCUCGAGGAGGACCUGAGCACCGCCCGGAGGGACCUCAUCAAGUCUGAGGAGCUAAGCAGCAGACACCAGCGGGACCUCCGCGAGGCUUUGGCGCAGAAGGAUGACAUGGAAGAGAGAAUCACCACGCUGGAGAAACGCUACCUGGCGGCCCAACGUGAAGCCACGUCCAUCCAUGACCUCAAUGACAAGCUGGAGAAUGAAUUGGCCAAUAAAGAGUCCUUGCACCGUCAGUGUGAGGAGAAGGCCCGGCACCUACAGGAGCUUCUGGAGCUGGCUGAGCAGAAGCUUCAGCAGACAAUGCGCAAAGCUGAGACCCUGCCCGAGGUCGAGGCUGAGCUGGCUCAGAGAAUCGCUGCCCUCACCAAGGCUGAAGAGCGGCACGGAAACAUUGAAGAGCACCUCCGGCAGCUGGAGGCACAGCUAGAAGAGAAGAACCAGGAGCUGGCCAGGGUACGCCAACGGGAAAAGAUGAAUGAAGACCACAAUAAGCGUCUCUCAGACACCGUAGAUCGGCUACUGAGUGAGUCCAAUGAACGGCUGCAGCUACACCUUAAGGAGCGGAUGGCUGCUCUUGAGGAAAAGAAUACACUCAUCCAGGAGCUGGAGAGCUCCCAGAGGCAGAUUGAGGAGCAGCAGCACCACAAGGGCCGCCUUUCAGAAGAGAUUGAGAAGCUCCGCCUGGAAGUGGACCAGCUGAAGGGUCGAGGGGGGCCAUUUGCAGAUGGCGUCCAUUCCAGGUCCCACAUGGGCAGUGCUGCGGACCUUCGGUUCUCUAUGAGUGCCGGAGCCCACGCUCCUGCUGGCCCUACCCCCAGUCUUCACCGCAGAUUUUCUGCCCUUCGAGAGGAGCCCACCAAGGACUGGGAACCGUCGCCACUCUCCGGGGUGCUGACUUCCACGGCCGCCCCCGCCUUUGAUAGUGACCCUGAGAUCUCAGACAUAGACGAGGAUGAGCCAGAGGGGCUGGUGGGCUCGGUGGGCGUCAUCUCUCCCAGUGGUCACUCGGAUGCUCAGACCUUGGCCAUGAUGCUUCAAGAACAGCUGGACGCCAUCAAUGAAGAGAUCAGGAUGAUUCAGGAGGAGAAGGAAUCGACAGAGCUCCGAGCGGAAGAGAUCGAGACACGGGUAACCAGCGGCAGCAUGGAAGCGCUGAACCUCACCCAACUGCGCAAACGCAGCUCAAUCCCCACCUCGCUGACCGCCCUGUCUCUGGCCAGUGCUUCUCCACCCCUCAGUGGCCGCUCUACACCCAAACUCACCUCCCGCAGUGCAGCCCAGGACCUGGACCGGAUGGGUGUCAUGACCUUGCCGAGUGACUUGAGGAAGCAUAGGAGGAAGCUACUGUCACCAGUGGCUCGGGAAGAGAACCGAGAAGAUAAAACCACCAUAAAAUGUGAGACUUCUCCUCCUUCCUCACCCAGGACUUUGCGGUUAGAGAAGCUUGGCCAUCCGGCCCUGAGCCAGGAUGAAGGUAAAAGUUCCUUGGAUGACCAAGGCAGUAACCCCAGCAGCAGCAACAGCAGCCAGGACUCCCUGCACAAGGGCACCAAGCGCAAGGGAAUCAAGUCAUCCAUUGGUCGACUCUUUGGGAAGAAAGAGAAGGGCAGGAUGAUCCAACUGAGCCGAGAAGGAGCCACAGGCCAUGUUCUUCUGUCAGAGUCAGAGGUCAAUCUGCAGGAGCCCCUGGUGCCUGCCAAGCUGGGAACCCAGGCUGAAAAGGACCGACGCUUGAGAAAGAAACACCAGCUUCUUGAGGAUGCACGCCGGAAGGGAAUGCCUUUUGCCCACUGGGAUGGCCCCACCGUGGUCUCAUGGCUGGAGUUGUGGGUGGGAAUGCCAGCCUGGUAUGUGGCUGCCUGUCGAGCCAAUGUCAAGAGUGGUGCCAUCAUGUCGGCUCUCUCAGACACGGAGAUCCAGCGGGAGAUAGGCAUCAGCAAUGCCCUGCACCGGCUCAAACUUCGGCUGGCCAUCCAGGAGAUGGUGUCAUUGACUAGUCCUUCAGCCCCACCCACCUCUAGGACGUCCUCGGGGAAUGUUUGGGUCACCCACGAGGAGAUGGAGACGCUGGCAACAUCCACAAAAACAGACAGUGAGGAGGGCAGCUGGGCUCAGACCCUGGCCUAUGGGGACAUGAAUCACGAGUGGAUUGGGAAUGAGUGGCUCCCCAGCCUGGGCCUCCCCCAGUACCGCAGCUACUUCAUGGAAUGCUUGGUGGAUGCCCGCAUGCUGGAUCAUCUCACUAAGAAGGACCUUCGAGUCCAUCUGAAGAUGGUGGACAGCUUCCAUCGGAGCAGCCUGCAGUAUGGCAUCAUGUGCUUAAAGAGACUUAAUUAUGACCGAAAGGAGUUGGAGAAGAGAAGAGAGGAGAGCCAGCAUGAGAUCAAGGAUGUGCUGGUCUGGACCAAUGACCAGGUGAUACACUGGAUCCAAUCUAUUGGGCUGCGGGACUAUGCCAGCAACCUUCACGAGAGUGGUGUGCAUGGGGCCCUCCUCGCUCUGGAUGAGAACUUUGACCACAACACCUUGGCCCUGGUCUUACAGAUUCCCACACAGAACACCCAGGCUCGCCAAGUGAUGGAAAGAGAGUUUAAUAACCUGCUGGCCUUGGGCACAGAUCGGAAGCUGGAUGAUGGGGAGGACAAGGUGUUCCGCCGCGCCCCCUCCUGGAGGAAACGCUUCCGGCCCCGGGACCCCCACGGAGGGAUGCUCAGCACCUCAGCAGAGACCCUCCCCACCAGCUUCCGGGUCUCCACGCUGGGGCCCUUGCAGCCCCCGCCGGCUCCGCCAAAGAAGAUGCUGCCAGAAGCGGGGACACCAGGGUCACAGAGACUGGAGACCUCUACGGUUCGGACCUACUCCUGCUGAACUCCCCCCUACCUUCCCUACCCCGGGUCUGACGGGGGUGUGCCCGUGGCUCGGGUUCAUUCCCAUUAUCUCUAUGGACACAUGCUCUCCGCCUUCCGGGACUAGCCACGGCCCCAGCCGGCUUCCUCCUGGGCCUCAGCGGCCAGCCGGCUCCAUCCCCUCCUGCUUGUUCCCUUUCCAGUAGUUCCCAGUCUUGUCUGUGACUUUCCAGUGGCCCCGGAUCUCAGCAUAUAUUCAUUCUCUAGCGCUGACCCUCGUCCCUUUCGUCCGUGUGUUUCAUGAGGCUUUGGCUGGGGCCUAGGUGUGCCAGGCUCAGCCUGCGGAUGGGUCAUUCUCUGACUGCAGGGGAGAGAAGGCAGCAAGCCCAGGGGGAAACUCCUCCUUCCCCUUCUGAAUCCCUGACCUGUUCCCGGGACCCUGGAGCGUGUCCGCAGAGAAGUGUGGUCUCAGCCUCCUAACUUCUAGAGGAGCCUCUGGGCCUUGAGAGUGUUUCUGCCUAACAACUGAUUUGGACACCCUGUGACAGCUUCUACAUUAGCAAUAGCCGGCAGAAAUAGCUCUCAGGGCUUAGGGUUUCAAGGGACCUUGAAAUCUUCCAAUAAGGCAGGAGAACAGAGCAAAGGGCUUGCCCUAGGCUUGGGGCAUGGGGAGAGUGAAAUAGCAGGAAUAUUUCCACCACCAGAUGAGGUUCCGUCUCAGUCUUUCUGGGAUCCAAGCCCCAGGCUCUGGCCAAAGAGAAUUGUAGGAAGAAUGAGGUUGACCAGCAGGCCAGCUUGGGACCAGUGUGGGAAAAAGGAUGAGAAGACAUGAAAUAGAAAACUGCAGGCCAAGAGUGUGUGUAUGGGAAACCCCUUUCUUCAGUCAGAUAUUCAGGUAGGUGGGAGGGGAGAGCGGAUGGUCUUCUGUUAGCAAUAAGCCACAUGUAGCCAUGAGGGCCCUCUCCUCUCACUCCCCAGAUUCUGGCAGGAUGGCUGGGUUGGUGGAUAUUCUGGGUGUGUUCUUUUGGCAACGCUAUCCUCAGAGAAUAUGCUAGAAGAAUGCUGUAGCUUUACACUGGCUCAAAAAAUUGGGGUUUGAAAGAGGAGCAGGCAAGGAUUCUCCUCUGCGUCCUCCCCAAGGAUGGAAGUAGGAAGGUGGGGGGGGAAGAAAAGAGGGAUGAGGAGAUCCGCUUCUCUGAAGAUGGUAACUGUAUCUGUAUCCUUUUAGUCUUAAAAUCUCAUAGAAAAUAACCCUAAUUUCCAGUCUUCUGACUUGCCAUAGAUUCCUCCUUCCCUCUGUCCUGAGUCUGUUCUCUGUCCUGGGAGUGUCCCAGGAAGAGGAGUUCUCAGGAAACCCUCCUCCUCCUCCUAUCCUUUUCCCACCAAGAGGUAGUGCAGGUGCCUAGAGUUUGUGUCAGUGGUGAGUGGCUGGUGUAGGGGGCAGGAGAGGGGAGCCCACGACUCGAGUUUUAGAGUAAGGAGUCGGAGAAAAUGACCAGUUUCCAGGGACCUCUACAACCCCCUGUCCUUCCUGGGUCUCUCUCCAGAAGAGGGCUACAAUUUUACCAUUCUUCAGGUAGGCAUUCCUGUGGGGCUUGAGCCAGUUUGCUGGUGUGUCUGCUUAGCUUUUGACCUGGGCGUAGAUAAGAGACAGACUGAGGCAGUAGAGCUACCUGCCUACCUGGAGGGAUGAUGCCCCAGGAGGGGGCCCAGCAUGGUGCUAGCUCUCAACCUGGUCCUUUGUUUGCUUUGUAAUGGGAGGAAGAGGAACAAUAAACCUCUGUCUGCCUGGAUGGACACUUCUGCAGCCAGGAACCGAUGUGCCUGCUCCUUUGGCGGUUUAGGCAAGUGGGAAGGAAUCGUGCGGUACCUGUCCUCUCCAAGGGCCCUCCCCUCCCCUUUGGGACUUCUGUGCUCAUAUGGCACCUGCUCCCUUCCCACUGUGCUGAUGGAGGUGGUGGAGCUGGAAUGUUUAACCCGAAAAUGAGUGGGAAGGAGACUAGGCAGAGAGAAGAAAUUCUGUUACAAGACCAGACUUUGGGGUUCUAGAGUAUUCAAUGUUAAGAUCCUGGGAUUGGGCAUCUAGGAUCAUGGGGACUGCAGCAACCUCUGAAUCCUUUAAAGGACUUGAUUAUUUUUCUUUUGUAAACAUCCCACUGUAAAUGGGCUGUGCUGGAUGAGAGACCAGGCCAACAGCUGCAGCUCCAGCCCCAUCUCCCCAGGCCCUUAAUGUUGACCUGCCCCAACUGGCCUGAUCCCAGGUCUGGAGAGAUUGAACACAUCCUUCCAAGGGCUGUUGGGAAGGGGGGGGGGACCUGCGUCACGCUGUGGUAGUGGGGUGUUGUCUCAGUGUAUACCUUGCCCAAGACUCAGUAUCUUUUUUAUUUGGAGAGUCGCUAGUGACCCCAGCCCCCUCACCAGCCUCUUCUGUCUCGUCAGGUCCUUCUUCCUCAGUACUGUAUCAGAUCACUGCAUCAGGAAUGGGUGUGCAGCGCCCCUCUGUGUGUGUGUGUGUGUGUAUGUGUGUGUGUGGCAGGGGUGUGUAUGUAACAAUAAACAACCUGGUUUUAAAACAA